GAUGAACGCUGGCGGCGUGCUUAACACAUGCAAGUCGAACGAAGCACUUUAUUUGAUUUCUUCGGAAUGAAGAUUUUGUGACUGAGUGGCGGACGGGUGAGUAACGCGUGGGUAACCUGCCUCAUACAGGGGGAUAACAGUUGGAAACGACUGCUAAUACCGCAUAAGCGCACAGGGUCGCAUGACCUGGUGCGAAAAACUCCGGUGGUAUGAGAUGGACCCGCGUCUGAUUAGCCAGUUGGUGGGGUAACGGCCUACCAAAGCGACGAUCAGUAGCCGACCUGAGAGGGUGACCGGCCACAUUGGGACUGAGACACGGCCCAAACUCCUACGGGAGGCAGCAGUGGGGAAUAUUGCACAAUGGGGGAAACCCUGAUGCAGCGACGCCGCGUGAGCGAAGAAGUAUUUCGGUAUGUAAAGCUCUAUCAGCAGGGAAGAUAAUGACGGUACCUGACAAGAA
rnacentral:rRNA from 1 species